rnacentral:rRNA from 1 species
AGUGAACGCUGGCGGUAGGCCUAACACAUGCAAGUCGAACGGCAGCACAGUAAGAGCUUGCUCUUACGGGUGGCGAGUGGCGGACGGGUGAGGAAUACAUCGGAAUCUACUUUUUCGUGGGGGAUAACGUAGGGAAACUUACGCUAAUACCGCAUACGACCUACGGGUGAAAGCAGGGGAUCUUCGGACCUUGCGCGAUUGAAUGAGCCGAUGUCGGAUUAGCUAGUUGGCGGGGUAAAGGCCCACCAAGGCGACGAUCCGUAGCUGGUCUGAGAGGAUGAUCAGCCACACUGGAACUGUGACACGGUCCAGACUCCUACGGGAGGCAGCAGUGGGGAAUAUUGGACAAUGGGCGCAAGCCUGAUCCAGCCAUACCGCGUGGGUGAAGAAGGCCUUCGGGUUGUAAAGCCCUUUUGUUGGGAAAGAAAAGCAGCAGGUUAAUACCCCGCUGUUCUGACGGUACCUAAAGAAUAAGCACCGGCUAACUUCGUG